rnacentral:rRNA from 1 species
GAUUGAACGCUGGCGGAAUGCUUUACACAUGCAAGUCGAACGGCAGCACGGGGGCAACCCUGGUGGCGAGUGGCGAACGGGUGAGGAAUGUACCGGAACGUACCCAGUGGUGGGGGAUAGCCCGGCGAAAGCCGGAUUAAUACCGCAUACGACCUGAGGAGAAAAGCAGGGGAUCGCAAGACCUUGCGCUUUUGGAGCGGCCGAUGCCUGAUUAGCUUGUUGGUGAGGUAAAAGCUCACCAAGGCUCCGAUCAGUAGCUGGUCUGAGAGCACGACCAGCCACACUGGGACUGAGACACGGCCCAGACUCCUACGGGAGGCAGCAGUGGGGAAUUUUGGACAAUGGGGGCAACCCUGAUCCAGCCAUGCCGCGUGAGUGAAGAAGGCCUUCGGGUUGUAAAGCUCUUUCAGCCGGAACGAAACGGUCACGGUUAAUACCCGUGACUACUGACGGUACCGGAAGAAGAAGCACCGGCUAACUACGUGCCAGCAGCCGCGGUAAUACGUAGGGUGCGAGCGUUAAUCGGAAUUACUGGGCGUAAAGCGUGCGCAGGUGGUUUUGUAAGUCAGAUGUGAAAUCCCCGGGCUUAACCUGGGAACUGCGUUUGAAACUGCAAGGCUAGAGUGUGGCAGAGGGGGGUGGAAUUCCGCGUGUAGCAGUGAAAUGCGUAGAUAUGUGGAGGAACACCGAUGGCGAAGGCAGCCCCCUGGGUUAACACUGACGCUCAGGCACGAAAGCAUGGGGAGCAAACAGGAUUAGAUACCCUGGUAGUCCAUGCCCUAAACGAUGUCAACUAGUUUGUUGGGGAAGGAGACUUCUUUAGUAACGUAGCUAACGCGUGAAGUUGACCGCCUGGGGAGUACGGCCGCAAGGUUAAAACUCAAAGGAAUUGACGGGGACCCGCACAAGCGGUGGAUGAUGUGGAUUAAUUCGAUGCAACGCGAAAAACCUUACCUACCCUUGACAUGCCAGGAACUUGCCAGAGAUGGCUUGGUGCCCGAAAGGGAGCCUGGACACAGGUGCUGCAUGGCUGUCGUCAGCUCGUGUCGUGAGAUGUUGGGUUAAGUCCCGCAACGAGCGCAACCCUUGUCAUUAGUUGCCUACAUUUAGUUGAGCACUCUAAUGAGACUGCCGGUGACAAGCCGGAGGAAGGUGGGGAUGACGUCAAGUCCUCAUGGCCCUUAUGGGUAGGGCUUCACACGUCAUACAAUGGCGCGUACAGAGGGUUGCCAACCCACAAGGGGGAGCUAAUCCCAGAAAGCGCGUCGUAGUCCGGAUUGUUCUCUUCAACUCGAGAGCAUGAAGUCGGAAUCGCUAGUAAUCGCGGAUCAGCCAAGCUGCGGUGAAUACGUUCCCGGGCCU